AGAGUUUGAUCCUGGCUCAGGACGAACGCUGGCGGCGUGCUUAACACAUGCAAGUCGAGCGGUAAGGCCCUUCGGGGUACACGAGCGGCGAACGGGUGAGUAACACGUGGGUAACCUGCCCUGUACUCUGGGAUAAGCCUGGGAAACUAGGUCUAAUACCGGAUACGAGCCUUCCCCGCAUGGGGUUGGUUGGAAAGUUCCGGCGGUACAGGAUGGACCCGCGGCCUAUCAGCUUGUUGGUGGGGUAAUGGCCUACCAAGGCGACGACGGGUAGCCGGCCUGAGAGGGUGACCGGCCACACUGGGACUGAGACACGGCCCAGACUCCUACGGGAGGCAGCAGUGGGGAAUAUUGCACAAUGGGCGAAAGCCUGAUGCAGCGACGCCGCGUGAGGGACGACGGCCUUCGGGUUGUAAACCUCUUUCAGCAGGGACGAAGCGCAAGUGACGGUACCUGCAGAAGAAGCACCGGCUAACUACGUG
rnacentral:rRNA from 1 species